rnacentral:rRNA from 1 species
CCCUUAGAUGUUCUGGGCCGCACGCGUGUUACACUGACGCAUUCAUCGAGUGUUUUGAUCGACCUUGGCCGAGAGGCCCGGGCAAUCUUUUCAACGUGCGUCGUGAUGGGGAUAGAUGAUUGCAAUUUUUCAUCUUGAACGAGGAAUGCCUAGUAAACGCAAGUCAUCAGCUUGCAUUGAUUACGUCCCUGCCCUUUGUACACACCGCCCGUCGCUACUACCGAUUGAAUGGUUUAGUGAGUUUUGUGGAUGGUCUGGGCGCUGGCUUCGGUCGGUGUCCGGGUGAGAAGCGCAACAAACUUGACUAUUUAGAGGAAGUAAAAGUCGUAACA